AUUGAACGCUGGCGGCAGGCCUAACACAUGCAAGUCGAGCGGAAACGAUCCUAGCUUGCUAGGAGGCGUCGAGCGGCGGACGGGUGAGUAACGCGUGAGAAUCUACCCAUGAGUGGGGGACAACCCGGGGAAACUCGGGCUAAUACCGCAUACGCCCUACGGGGUAAAGCAGGGGACCUUCGGGCCUUGCGCUGAUGGAUGAGCUCGCGUCGGAUUAGCUUGUUGGUGAGGUAAAGGCUCACUAAGGCGACGAUCCGUAGCUGGUCUGAGAGGAUGAUCAGCCACACCGGGACUGAGACACGGCCCGGACUCCUACGGGAGGCAGCAGUGGGGAAUCUUGGACAAUGGGGGCAACCCUGAUCCAGCCAUGCCGCGUGUGUGAAGAAGGCCUGAGGGUUGUAAAGCACUUUUAGCAGGAAAGAAGGCCUUAGUAUUAAUACUACUGAGGAUUGACGUUACCUGCAGAAAAAGCACCGGCUAACUCUGUG
rnacentral:rRNA from 1 species